AAUGAUUGCCGGCAAAGAAAUAAAAAGAAUGAGAAUGCUCUACAGACAUUACAUCAGAAAGAAAACACUAGCAUGGGCCAGUAUGGAGUGGACAGAGGAACAGAAGUGACAGAGUUCAGGGGCAGAGGAAGAAGACACGGACCAGAUGAGCACUAUUAUUCAUGAGAUACAACUCAUCAUGUACUUCGGAUGAACAGAACAGCGAGGGGUGUUUUUAGUUGACUGCUGCUGCACAAUUAUCACAAGGAAGAAAAUGAAGCAGUAUGCUAUUUUGGGGUUUCAUCAACGUGAAGCUGGUUGUAAUCUCAAUUUGUGAGAUAUGGCGAGGAAAAUGAAAGUGGGGGAAGGGAUGGUGGGGAGGUGAAUGGGAAGGGAAGAGCGAAAUGGGGUAUGAUGUUCAUUAUAAAACCUACGCGACAUUAUAAAAUUUUUGACUUGUAGGUCAAAGCCAUUUGAAAAUAUGUUAAGGUCUGAGUCUUAAAUGAUUGACUCAUCUGGUAUAACUUGUAAUAAGAUGAAUGCUAUGUUAAUGUCUUAUUAGAACAGAAUCAUUGAUGGGGGCGCCUGGGUGGCUCAGUCGGUUGAGCGUCUGGCUUCGGCUCAGGUCAUGAUCUCACCAUUAGUGAGUUUGAGCCCCGCGUCGGGCCCUGUGCUGACAGCUCAGAGCCUAGAGCCUGCUUCAGAUUCUGUGUCCCCCUCUCUCUCCACCCCAUCCCUGCUUGUGUUCUGUCUCUGUCUUUCAAAAAUGAAUAAACAUAAAAAUAAAAUAAAAAAAAGAACAGAAUCAUCGGAAACAGUGCCAAAGACUAUUUUCUGUGGAUAUUUUCAUAAGACAGAUCUGGGUGGAAAUGGUGAUUUGCCUCCUCUGAAGAUCCUACAGAGCUGAGAGCCUUUGGACACUUGGAUACUAUGCUAAGUAAAUGUUAUGUACUUCAUUUAAAAACGUACCCAUAAUGAUCAGCAAGGUAGCUUCCUUAUUCUAACCUAAGUUAUAUAAUAAAAGGUGAUUUUUAUUAUUCUGACAAUUUUGGGGAGGAAAAAUAAUUUUCCCUCUACCCUUCUGAGUUCUUGGCUGAGACCGUUGUAAUAGAUUAACAAGAGAAAAACAAACAAGUUUAUUAACAGGUAUACCUCAUGUAUACACAGGAGACACUCAGGAACAAUGAAUAACUCUCUGAGGUGUCUUUAGAAUUCAGGAUUAAAUGCUAUCUUUAUAGGAAAAGGGGAGCAGAGAUAUAGGCCUCUUGGGGGACAGUGAAUGAUUUUUAGGAAAGAUAACUGGGCCAUUAGAAGAAUAGAUGAGAGGCAUGGUAGUUUGUGACAAAGUUUGUCUGAGUGUGGUGUUGACUGGAAGUUUCCUCUCCAGGACAAGAAUCAUGUUCCUUGGUUGAGGAAACUCCAGGGGAGGGCAUCUAUGACAACUGAGUUCCUUUUGGAGAAUAUGUCUUCAGGUAGAUAAAGGGAGCUCAGAGAAAGCCCUGCAUUUGCUUUCUAAGUACCUACAGCUCAAAAUAUCAAUAUACCAAAGUGGCAUGCCAACAGUGUCCUAUUAUCCUUUACAAUCAUGAAAAAAAGAAAAAAAAUGUUUCAUGCAGGAGGAAGUGCAAAAAAAAUAGCAAAACCCUCAUUUGAUAUUAACACUUCAAAAUGGAAGUUUUGACUGAUAGACAGCCAGUAAGUUUUUAGACAUAUUAACUAGGUCAAGCUUUAAACAAUGGAUCAUUUUAUCUGAAAUUACUCUAUUCAUGGUAGGCUUUGUAUGAGGUCUGUGACUAGUCAUGUCAAGUUAGUUCUUAGAAAAUAGCUCUGGAGCUCAUUUGAUUGGAAGAAGCAUAUGAAUUCUUCAUAUCCUUAAACUAGGAUGGAAAGAAUGCAUUUCCAGAACCUGCAAAUGCUGAAGAUUUCAGUUCUCAUCAGUAUUUAACAUAAUGCACUGUCCCUAAACAAAUGCAAAGCUAUCAGAAAAGGAGAUAGAGAUUCAACUCAUAUCUUCUUACCAUUUUCACUGGACUUUGCUGCUUACAAAAAAAAAAAAUGCUUUGGGCAUGAUGUUCCAUGAAAAAGAGUAGUCAGCAAGUUGUUAUAGGCUUAGGUUGGACAAGGAGAAUUUUACAGAGAUCAAGUACAGAAAGAACAGAGAAGGAAAUUUAAUACCAUUGAAUGCCCUUGACCAAAAUUUUCAUAAUGAGCUGGUUUCCUAAUGUCAUAAUUUCUGAACUUACUGUGCUUCAGAAACAUCUUGUGAAAAGUCUAGUAGUAAAGUUCAUAUGAUAAAUUAUGUUGAGAACAUUAUUACAUAAUGUGGAAUUUAAGAAAUUCUUUUUAUUGAGUGCCUAUCAUAUGCUUGACAAAAUAAAGAAAAUUUAGCUCCUU